UACGUAGGUGGCAAGCGUUGUCCGGAAUUAUUGGGCGUAAAGCGCGCGCAGGCGGUCCUUUAAGUCUGAUGUGAAAGCCCACGGCUCAACCGUGGAGGGUCAUUGGAAACUGGGGGACUUGAGUGCAGAAGAGGAAAGCGGAAUUCCACGUGUAGCGGUGAAAUGCGUAGAGAUGUGGAGGAACACCAGUGGCGAAGGCGGCUUUCUGGGCAGUUUAGCUGACACUGAGGCGCGACAGCGUGGGGAGCAAACAGG
rnacentral:rRNA from 1 species